rnacentral:rRNA from 1 species
UACGUAGGGGUGCGAGCGUUAAUCGGAAUUACUGGGCGUAAAGCGUGCGCAGGCGGUUUUUGUAAGCCAGAUGUGAAAUCCCCCGGGCUUAACCUGGGGAAUGGCAUUUUGGGACUGCAAGGGCUCGAGUGCGGCAGAGGAGACUGGAAUUCCUGGUGUAGCAGUGAAAUCGUAGAUAUCAGGAGGAACACCGAUGGCGAAGGCAGGUCUCUGGGCUG